GUGCAAUGUUGCUUGCUGUUUUUUCUCUGCUCCAGAACAGCUCGCUCAGAGGAAGAUCGAGACUCACUGUGGGAUGCCUGGGGUUCAUGGAGUGAAUGUUCACGCACGUGUGGAGGAGGGGCUUCGUAUUCACUGAGACGUUGCCUGAGCAGCAAGACCUGUGAAGGGCGAAACAUCCGAUACAGGACAUGCAGCAAUGUGGACUGUCCUCCAGAAGCAGGUGAUUUUCGUGCUCAGCAGUGCUCGGCGCAUAACGAUGUCAAGUAUCAGGGACAGUUUUAUGAGUGGCUUCCUGUCUCUAACGAUCCUGACAACCCAUGUUCGCUGAAGUGCCAGGCCAGAGGAACAGCUUUGGUUGUAGAGCUGGCACCAAAAGUUCUGGAUGGGACCCGAUGCUACACUGAAUCCCUGGAUAUGUGCAUCAGCGGCUUGUGCCAAAUUGUUGGCUGUGACCGCCAGCUGGGAAGCACUGUCAAGGAAGAUAACUGUGGGGUCUGCAAUGGUGAUGGGUCCACCUGCCGGCUGGUUCGAGGCCAGUAUAAGUCCCAGUUCUCAGCAAAUAAAAUGGUCGAUACAGUAGUUGCUAUUCCCUAUGGAAGCAGGCAUAUUCGCCUCGUGCUGAAAGGACCCGAUCAUUUAUAUUUGGAAACCAAGACUCUCCAAGGUGUUAAGAGUGAAAACAACCUCAGCUCCACAGGUUCCUUCAUUGUGGACAAUUCUAGCAUUGACUUCCAGAAGUUUCCAGACAAGGAGAUACUGAAAAUAUCUGGGCCUCUCACUGCAGACUUCACUAUCAAGAUAGUCUACGUUGGUGCUGCUGACAGUUCAGUCCAGUUCAUCUUCUAUCAGCCUAUCAUUCAUCGAUGGAGAGAAACUGAUUUUUUCCCUUGUUCAGCAUCCUGUGGAGGAGGUUAUCAACUGACUUCUGCUGAAUGUUUUGAUCUGAGGAGUAAUCGGGUAGUAGCAGAUCAAUACUGUCACUAUUACCCUGAAAAUAUCAAGCCAAAGCCAAAACUUCAGGAGUGUAAUCUGGAUCCUUGUCCUGCAAGUGAUGGAUACAAGCAGAUCAUGCCCUAUGACCUCUACCAUCCCCUUCCUCGAUGGGAAAGUACGCCCUGGACUGCCUGCUCCUCAUCCUGCGGAGGGGGCAUUCAAAGCCGCAGUAUCUCAUGUGUGGAGGAAGACAUUCAAGGGCAUAUUAGCCCCGUGGAAGAAUGGAAAUGCAUGUACACUCCAAAGAUGCCUCUUGUCCAACCUUGCAAUAUAUUUGACUGCCCAAAGUGGCUUGCUCAGGAAUGGUCACCGUGCACUGUGACCUGUGGACAAGGGCUCAGAUAUCGCGUGGUCCUUUGCAUUGAUCACAGGGGGAUGCAUACAGGAGGCUGUAGCUCUAAAACAAAGCCACACAUAAAAGAAGAAUGCAUUGUACCCACUCCUUGUUACAAACCCAAAGAGAAACUUCCCGUGGAAGCAAAGUUGCCGUGGUACAAACAAGCUCAAGAGCUGGAAGAAGGAGCAGUGGUGUCUGAAGAACCUUCGUUUAUUCCUGAGGCUUGGUCCUCCUGUAGUGUCACCUGUGGAGUGGGCAGCCAGGUGCGGCUUGUGAAAUGUCAAGUGCUUCUGUCUUUCUCUCAGUCUGUGGCUGAUUUGCCUAUUGAUGAAUGUGAAGGUCCCAAACCCGUGUCUCAGAGAGCCUGUUACAGUGGUCCCUGCAAUGGAGAAGCAGCUGAACAUACUCCUGAAGAAACGGAUCUGCUGUAUGGUAGAUUGCAGGAAUUCGAUGAGCUCUAUGACUGGGAAUAUGAGGGCUUCACUGAGUGUUCGGAGUCUUGUGGAGGAGGUAAGUGCAAUGUCUUCUGUUCUCACCUACUAUCAAGAGAAAGUAAUGAGACCGUGAUUUUAGCAGAUGAAUUGUGCCAUAAACCUAAGCCAUCGCUUGUACAAGCCUGUAAUCGCUUCGACUGCCCGCCCUCCUGGUAUACUACAGAAUGGCAAGAGUGUUCACAGACAUGUGGAGGUGGUGUCCAGAAGCGAGAUAUACUUUGCAAGCAGCGUCUGGCAGAUGGAAGCUUGUUAGAGCUGCCAGAAACAUUUUGCUCCAUGCCGAAGCUGAUUUCCCAGCAAACCUGCAAAAAUGAGGACUGUCCUAAUGAGUGGCUUCUUUCUGACUGGUCACAGUGUUCAGUGAGUUGUGGAGAGGGGACCCAAAGUCGAAAUGCUAUUUGCAGAAAGAUGCUGAAAACUGGGGGUUCUGUUAUCAUCAAUUCCUCCCUGUGCCCACCUCUGCCAUUCUCAUCCUUACUCAGGCCCUGUGCACUAGCAACCUGUGCAAGGCACAACAGGCCAGCUCAUAAGCAAAGUCCUCAUAUUGUGGCCGUAAAGAAAGUUUACAUCCAGACAAGGAAGCAGAAGAAGCUACACUUUAUUGUGGGUGGGCAUGCCUAUCUGCUGCCCAAAACCUCUGUUAUUCUCCGAUGCCCCACAAGGAGGUUCCGGAAGUCAAUGAUCUUCUGGGAGAAGGAUAACAAGAGGCUCAUCAGCUCAGCUCACAUCACCAUUGCACCCUAUGGGUACAUGAAAAUCCAUCGUUUGAGGCCUUCAGACACUGGGAUAUAUACCUGCAUAGCAGGGCCAGCCCGGGAGCAUUUUGUAAUUAAACUAAUAGGAAGCAACAAAAAUCUCAUUGCUGGGCAGCCAGCUGGCAUUAGGGAGGAAGAGGCCAUGAGAAAGUCCGGUCUAAAUGAAGCCUUGCGAACACAGGAGAAACAUAUCAAUGGGAUUCUCUUCAAUGGAAGCAAGACUGAAAAGCGAGGGCAUCUUGCUGACCCUAGUGGCUGGUAUGACAAUAUUGUCUCAAGGUUGCUACAGCACAAGGGCUGGCCAGGGGGAAAUCUGGAGUUCCGUGAAGCCCAGGAGUCCACAGAGAGAAAUGUGUCCUCAGAGGAAGACCAGAGCCAGGAGUAUAGCCUGCCAUAUACUAUGGUCACAGAUCAGAAACAGUUGGAUGAUAUCAUAAGGAAUUUGUCUCAGCAACCUGAGGAGCUUAAAGAUAUUUACACUGAGCAGAUUGUUGUACAGUUGGCUCAUGAGAUUUUCAAGAGCCACUUGGAGCAUCAGGAAUCUGUCCUCAAAGCAUCAAGACGAAGAGUUGAUUCAGCUUCCAUGGAAUACCCUUUCCACAGACAUGUUUCUGGAUUUACCAGCUCCUUGAGGACAUCAUCUGCUGAAGCAUUUCUUCCCACCUCUAUGAACCCAACGAAUGGCUUGCACAGCCCUCAUCAAAAGCCUGCCAUCCUCCGAAAGAUUUCAGCAGCACAACAGCUUUCUGCUUCAGAGGUUGUCACCCACCUGGGACAGACAGUGGUUCUAGCCAGUGGCACACUGAGUGUGCUGCUUCACUGCGAAGCAGUGGGAAACCCAAAGCCCACCAUCAGUUGGGCUAAGAAUGGAGAGGAGGUGAAAUACAAUGAUAGGAUGCUACUUCAGCCUGAUGACUCCUUGCAGAUUCUAGCACCUGUGGAAGCUGAUGUGGGUUUCUAUGCUUGCAACGCAUCUAAUGCUCUGGGAUCUGACUCUGUGUCCAUUGCUGUCACUCUAGCAGGAAAACCACUAAUAAAGGCAUCAAGAGCUACUGUGAUCAACACUGAAUUGCCUGCUGUCACUGCUGAUAUUGGAAGCACAGUGAAAACAAUCCAAAGAACAAAUGUUACCAUUAGCUGCCAGGUUGCAGGUGUUCCUGAAGCGGAAGUUACUUGGUUUAAAAAUAAGGUCAAGCUGUCCCCUGCUCACCACCUGCACGAUGGGUUGCUGCUAAUUGCAAAUGUUUCUCUGUCGGAUCAGGGGUUAUAUUCCUGCAGGGCAGCCAAUCUACGUGGGGAGGUAACUGAAAGCUCCCAGCUGUUGGUUCUUGGUAAGUACAGGGUAUUUUGCUUGCGAAGCUAUAGGAAUAUAGCUGAUGGCCUAAUUAGCCUUCAGAAUUAAUCAGAGGACGUGAAAAGAGGGAAUGACAUAGCAGCAAAGGACUACCCCUUCCAGGGCAGAGAUAUUCAGUUUCAUUAUUUCACACUUGAUGGUGAAGAAAAUGAUUUAUUAAUUAAGUGAUUCUCUUGAAAUGAGAAUGAUGCGGCUUGUUUUGCUAUGUUCUGCUUCAAUGAGCAGCAUUUCUUGUACAUAGCUGUGUGGUACUGACCCAUUUUAUACCAAACAGGUGCAUAAACACAGUGCACUUUUGAAAAACACUUCCCAAGUUCAGUAAAGGAUGAAGUUUACUUUUCCUUGAGUUUUAAAUAACAAGCAUAAAGCCAUUCUUGGUGAUUUGAAAAGACAAUGUCAGCUGUGAAGUAUGGGUAGAUGUGUU
ensembl:lncRNA